rnacentral:rRNA from 1 species
CCUACGGGUGGCAGCAGUGAGGAAUAUUGGUCAAUGGCCGGAAGGCUGAACCAGCCAUGCCGCGUGAAGGUCAGUGCCCUAUGGGCGUUAAACUUCUUUUGUGCGGGAGCAAUAAUGGUCACGUGUGGCCAGACGAGAGUACCGUACGAAUAAGCAUCGGCUAACUCCGUGCCAGCAGCCGCGGUAAUACGGGGGAUGCAAGCGUUAUCCGGAUUUACUGGGUGUAAAGGGAGCGUAGACGGCGAGGUAAGCCUGAAGUGGAAGCCCGCGGCCCAACCGCGGAACUGCUUUGGGAACUGUUUUGCUGGAGUAUGGGAGGGGUAAGCGGAAUUCCUGGUGUAGCGGUGAAAUGCGUAGAUAUCAGGAGGAACACCGGUGGCGAAGGCGGCUUACUGGACCAUAACUGACGUUGAGGCUCGAAAGCGUGGGGAGCGAACAGGAUUAGAUACCCCAGUAGUC